UUAUUAUUGAAUUGAGAUUUUAUUAAAAGAAAAGAAAAGGAAAUCCUAAAGAAACCCUUGCGAGCACAAAGAUACAGACAAAAGGUCAAGCCUCAUUAAAAUCUCUUUAAGGCAAACCCAAUAAAAAAAUAUGAAAAAGGAAAAAGAGGCCGUUUACAACAAAAAACCCCAAGGAAAACUGAAAAAAUCAAAAAGUGAACAAACUCAAUGGAAG
rnacentral:lncRNA from 1 species